rnacentral:rRNA from 1 species
GUCAAAGUAGAAAGGGCGUACGGUGGAUGCCUAGGCACCAAGGGCCGAAGAAGGACGCGGCAGG